AGCGAACGCUGGCGGCAGGCCUAACACACGCAAGUCGAACGAAGUCUUCGGACUUAGUGGCGGACGGGUGAGUAACACGUGGGAACGUGCCUUUAGGUUCGGAAUAACUCAGGAAAACUUGUGCUAAUACCGAAUGUGCCCUUCGGGGGAAAGAUUUAUCGCCUUUAGAGCGGCCCGCGUCUGAUUAGCUAGUUGGUGAGGUAAAGGCUCACCAAGGCUACGAUCAGUAGCUGGUCUGAGAGGAUGACCAGCCACAUUGGGACUGAGACACGGCCCAAACUCCUACGGGAGGCAGCAGUGGGGAAUCUUGCGCAAUGGGCGAAAGCCUGACGCAGCCAUGCCGCGUGGAUGAUGAAGGUCUUAGGAUUGUAAAAUCCUUUCACCGGUGAAGAUAAUGACUGUAGCCGGAGAAGAAGCCCCGGCUAACUUCGUGCCAGCCGCCGCCGCCGUAA
rnacentral:rRNA from 1 species